rnacentral:lncRNA from 1 species
CCUGUUCCUCGAAAAUAUUAAAUUGUUCAGAUCAGUUUCGUCUUGGAGGACCUGGUCAUGUAUAAAUUGAUGAAUUCUGUAUUGCUAAGAGGAAAUACAAACCGUGGUCGUAUCGUUUCUGGUUCAGAGAAAUGGGUCCUUGGAAUGUAUGAUUGCCAGUUACACAGAGGACUCGUUCUUUGUCUGCAAAAUCGUAUUGCUGAUGUAAUAAUUCCAAAUAUUGUACAACAUGUCAAGCCAGGAACUGAAAUUUGGACAGAUAUGUUUGCUUCUCAUUCUACAUUGGGGACAUUGGGAGGUGUUUCUCCAUACAGUGAUCUUACCAGGGCCGCCGAG